AUGAAACGCUAGCGGCAGGCUUAAUACAUGCAAGUCGAGGGGCAGCAUGGGUGUAGCAAUACACCUGAUGGCGACCGGCAAACGGGUUGCGGAAACACGUAACACAAACUUACCCAGGAACUGGGGGCAUAAGCCCUCCGAAAGGGAGGAUUAACACCCCCAUAAGAUAGUAGAGUGGGCAAUCACUUUCGCUAUUUAAAACUCCGGUGGUCCUGGAUGGGUGGUGCGGGCUGAUUAGGUAGUUGGCGGGGGGUAACGGCCCCACCAAGCCUUCGAUCAGUAACUGGUGUGAGAGCACGACCAGUCCACCACGGGCACUGAGGACACGGGCCCGAACUCCUACGGGAGGCAGCAAGCAGUUAAGGAAUAUUGGUCAAUGGGACGCAAGUCUGAACCAGCCAUGCCGCGUGGAAGGAUGAAGGGUCCCUCUGGAUUUGUAAACUUCUUUUUAUGGGGGACGAAAAUCAACGUUUUUCUACGUUGUUCUGACGGUACCCUAGGAAUAAGCAACCGGCUUAACUCCGUGCCAAGCAGCCGCGGUAAUACGGAGGGUGCAAAGCGUUUAUCCGGAUUCACUGGGUUUAAAGGGUUGCGUAGGAGGGCAGGUAAGUCAGUGGUGAAAUCUUUGGGCUUAAACCCGAAAAAACUGCCAUUGAUACUAAUCUGUCUUGAAUGCGGUGGAGGUGAGCGGAAUAUGUCAUGUAGCGGUGAAAAUGCUUAGAUAUGACAUAGAACACCGAUUUGCGAAGGCAGCUCGCUACACCUGCAUUGACUCUGAGGCACGAAAAGCGUGGGGAUCAAAACAGGAUUAGAUACCCUGGUAGUCCACGCCCUAAAACGAUGGAUACUCGGACAUACGCGAUACACUGUGUGUGUCUGAGCGAAAGCAUUAAGUAUCCCACCUGGGAAGUACGACCGCAAAGGUUGAAACUCAAAAGGGAAUUGGCGGGGGUCCGCACAAGCGGUGGAGCAUGUGGUUUAAUUCGAUGAUACGCGAGGAACCUUACCUGGGCUAGAAUGCCGGGUGGGACCGUGGGUGAAAGCUCACUUUGUAGCAAUACACCGCCGGUAAGGUGCUGCAAUGGCUGUCGUCAAGCUCGUGCCGUGAGGUGUUGGGUUAAGUCCCGCAAACGAGCGCAAACCCCCCAUCACUAGUUUUGCCAUCAGGGUAAACGCUGGGAAACUCUAGUGAAAACUGCCGUCGUAAGACGCGAGGAAGGAGGGGAUGAUGUCAAGUCCAUCAUGGGCCUUUAUGGCCCAGGGCUACACACGUGCUACAAUGGGACGGACAAAGGGCUGCCACUUAGCGAUAAGGAGCCCAAUCCCAAAAAAACCGUCUCUCAGUUUCAGAUCGCAGUCUGCAAACUCGACUGCGUGAAGCUGGAAUCGCUAGUAAAUCGUAUAUCAGCAAUGAUACGGGUGAAUACGUUUCCGGACCUUGCACACACCGCCCGUCAAGCCAUGGAAGCUGGGUGUACCUAAAGUCGAUAACCGCAAGGAGUCGCCCUAGGGGUAAAAAACUAGUAAACUGGGGCU
rnacentral:rRNA from 1 species